UGUAAAGUUCAAGCUCCGAUUUGUGAGGGCGAAACCGCGAAUGGCUCAUUAAAUCAGUCAUAAUCUACUUGAUUGUUUAAAGUUUAUAUGGAUAACUGUGGUAAUUCUAGAGCUAAUACAUGCGUGAAGGGGGCGACUCCGCGAGGAGAAGCUCUGCGUUUAUUAGACUAAGACCGGCGGGAGCUCGCAAGGGCUCUCAUCAUCUAAGGUGACUCUGAGUAAAUAAUGGGUGCAAGCCCAUGUUGCCGACCUGGCAUCUAAACGGCCCCGUCAAACGGGUCGGCCAGGCGAAUCAAUCGAGUGUCUGCUCUAUCAACUGUGGAUGGUAGGGUAAUUGCCUACCAUGGUGGUGACGGGUAACGGGGAGUUAGGGCUCGACUCCGGAGAACAAGCCUGAGAAACGGCUAGUAGGACUAAGGUCUGCAGCAGGCGCGAAACUUACACAAUGCUAGAUUUCGAUUAGCGAUGUAGUGAAGAAAAAUAACGAUGUACUUGUAUUUAAACAUACUUGUACAAUUGGAAUGAGACGACUCUAAACCAGUCAGUCGAGUAACAAAUGGAGGGCAAGUCUGGUGCCAGCAGCCGCGGUAAUUCCAGCUCCAUUAGCAUACAUUAAAGUUGUUGCGGUUAAAAAGCUCGUAGUUGAAUUUUGGACGGGCUCUUGUAGGAUGCGACCAUUCAAGGCGUACUUGUCAUCUUCGGAUGCGAUGCGCUGGCCGUAGUUCCCACACGGAACCCGUUGUUUCGUCACUUAAUCGAGUGCGAAGCGGGCUGGUGUAUCACGUGCGAUCGCAAGAUCCACUUACAACAGCAUGUUUACCUUGAGAAAAUUAGAGUGCUCACAGCAGUACCUUGAGAAAAAUUAGAGUGCUCAGAGCAGGCAGUUGGGAUGUAAAAGUCUCUUUAUGCUUGAAUAAUGUUGCAUGGAAUAAUAGAAUACGGCCUCGGUUCUAUUCUGUUGGUCUUAUAGAACAACAAAUAAGUUGAUUUGGGCGUCAAACGGCCCGCCAAGAGUGUGGUUGUGUUGCAUUUGUGUUGUCUGGGGCCUAAAAAUCUCAGUACCUCAGUGCGGCCAACCUCAAAAGCGCUCCUGGCUCAGGUCAGCCUUCAAUCAACUGAGGCAAUGGUUAAAAGAAAUAGUCGCGGCGGCAAUCAGUACUGCAAUCGUGAGAGGUGAAAUUCUUUAGACCGAUACAUCGUGAGAGGUGAAAUUCUUAGACCGAUGCAAGACUAACUGAAGCGAAAGCGUUUGCCGAGGAUAUUUUCAUUAAUCAAGAACGAAAGUUAGAGGUUCGAAGGCGAUCAGAUACCGCCCUAGUUCUAACCAUAAACGUUGCCAACUAGCAAUUGGAUUGCGAUUCCUUUAGUUGAAGCCUAAAAAACUUCAACCAUUAUGAUCCAUCCAGCGGCUCUCGUAGGGAAACCAAAGUGUUUGGGUUCCGGGGGAAGUAUGAUUGCAAAGUUGAAACUUAAAGGAAUUGACGGAAGGGCACCACCAGGAGUGGAGCCUGCGGCUUAAUUUGACUCAACACGGGGAAACUUACUAGAUUAGAACUCUGGAAUGAUUGACAGAUUGAUAGCUCUUUCUUGAUUCAGAGGAUGGUGGUGCAUGGCCGUUCUUGAUUCGUAUUCCGAAACGUCUGCUUAAUUGCGAUAACGAGUGAGACCUCACUAAGCUAACUAGUGGUGUCGUGCGCUGUGGAACGCAAAAGUUCUGUGUGGGUUCUUGUUGUUGGUGGCUUUCGGGUUGCUGGCAGCGCCCCGCAUGGGAUGUUCUCUGCUCGCGUACCGACUUCUUAGCUAGAUCCGGAGCAUAAAGCUCCUAGAGACGAGGCAAUAACAGGUCUGUGAUGCCCUAAGAUAUUGUAGGCCGCACGCGUGCUACAAUGGCGUGUGCAGAAAGCUUGUUCGAGAGGCGUCUAGAGAGAACUAGUUGUUUGGUUUGGGUUGGGGGCAACUCUAGCUCAGGUCGGCAGCCAAGUGACUCUAGUAACGACUCGAGAGAAACCGCAGCCGAAAGGUUGUGGCAAUCAUUAAUAGACGCCGUGAUUUGGGAUUGGGGAUUGCAAUUGUUGCCCAUGAACGAGGAAUUCCCAGUAAGCGCGAUUCAUCAUAUCGCGCUGAUUACGUCCCUGCCCUUUGUACACACCGCCCGUCGCUACUACCGAUUGGAAGUUUUAGUGAGGCAUCUGGACUUGCUGGCCAGGGGAUGGGCAACCGUUCCAGGCUUUGCGGGGAAGUUUGUCGAACUCAAAUUUCUAGAGGAAGUAAAAGUCGUAACAAGGUUUCCGU
rnacentral:rRNA from 1 species